GGGCCCUUGGCACAGUUGGUAGCGCGCACGCUUCGCAUUUCUUUGCAAUUGCGUGAGGUCGAGGGUUCAAUUCCCUCAGUGUCCA
rfam:Hebeloma cylindrosporum h7 unplaced genomic scaffold scaffold_34, whole genome shotgun sequence.